rfam:Glycine max cultivar Williams 82 chromosome 19, whole genome shotgun sequence.
GUCCCUUCGAAGAAUGGGGACAUAUGAUAAAAUUGGAACCAUACAGAGAAGAUUAGCGUUGCCCUGUGCAAGGAUGACACGCACAAAUCAAGAAAUGCUCCAAUUUUUU